rnacentral:rRNA from 1 species
GAGUUGUAUGAGGCACCUAAAUGUCUCAUAGCAAACUGCUCAGUAACACAUGAUCAACCUACCCUAUGAAGGAUAAUAACCUCGGGAAACUGAGGAUAAUGAUCCAUAGCUGAUUCGGCUUGGAAAAGUGUUUCAGUGAAAUGGAUAUAGAAAAUGGUCUGUAUCCGUCAUAGGAUGGGAUUGUGGUCGAUUAGGUAGUUGGUGAGAUAAAGGCUCACCAAGCCGAUAAUCGAUAGGGGCCGUGAGAGCGGGAGCCUCGAGAUGGGUACUUAGACAGCGACCCAGGCCCUACGGGGCGCAGCAGGCGCGAAACCUCCGCAAUACACGCAAGUGUGACGGGGCUACCCAAAGUGCUCCAUAUAGGAGCUGUGGUAGGUGCGUAAUGUUCCCUACUAGAAAGGAGAGGGCAAGGCUGGUGCCAGCCGCCGCGGUAAAACCAGCUCUUCAAGUGGGGUCGGGAUAAUUAUUGGAGCUUAAACGUGUCCCGUAGCUUGUAAGCGUAAGUUCCUGGUUACAAAUUGGGCAGCUUUAACUGUCCUUAUGCUAGGAAUACUGCUUUACUAGAGGGCGGGAAGAGGUCUGAGGUACUACAGGGGUUAGGAGUGAAAAUCUAAUAAGUCCUUGUAGGACCCACCAUUGGCGAAAGGCGUCAGACUGGAACGCGCCUGGACGGUGAGGGACGAAAGCCAGGGGAGCGAACCGGAUUAGAUACCCGAGUAGUCCUGGCCGUAAACGAUGCACACNUAGAUGAUGGUGCGNGCCAUGAGCCGUAUCAGUGUCGUAGGGAAACCGUUAAGUGUGCCGCCUGGGAAGUACGGUCGCAAGGCUUAAACUUAAAGGAAUUGGCGGGGGAGCACCACAAGGGGUGAAGCCUGCGGUUCAAUUGGACUCAACGCCGGGCAACUUACCAGGGGAGACAGCAGAAUGAAGGUCAGGUUGACGACCUUACCUAACAAGCUGAGAGGAGGUGCAUGGCCGUCGCCAGUUUGUGCUGUGAGGUAUCCUGUUAAGUCAGGCAACGAACGAGACCCACGCCUUUAUUUGCCAGCAAGAAGUCACGACUUCGUUGGGAACGAUAAAGGGACUGCCGUCGAUAAGACGGAGGAGGGAGCGGGCAAAGGCAGGUCAGUAUGCCCCGAAACCCCUGGGCUACACGCGGGCUGCAAUGGUGCGAACAAUGGGCUGUGACUCCGACAGGAGAAACCAAUCCCGAAAUCGCAUCUCAGUUGGAAUUGUCAACUGUAACCCGUUGACAUGAACGUGGAAUC